rnacentral:rRNA from 1 species
UACGUAGGCAGCGAGCGUUGUUCGGAGUUACUGGGCGUAAAGGGUGUGUAGGCGGUUGUUUAAGUUUGGUGUGAAAUCUCCCGGCUCAACUGGGAGGGUGCGCCGGAAUACUGAAUGACUAGAGUGCGGGAGAGGUGAGUGGAAUUCCUGGUGUAGCGGUGAAAUGCGUAGAUAUCAGGAGGAACACCGGUGGUGUAGACGGCUCACUGGACCGUAACUGACGCUGAGACACGAAAGCGUGGGUAGCAAACAGG